AUUGACUGAUGGUCACACACAUCUCUGCAGGGGUUUGUGGGAGCCAGGGCCCCGGGAGGCCUGGUUUAACUCCUACCAUCCCUUGAAGGUGGAAGUCACCGCCCACCAAAUCACUGGAGUUCCAGGCCUAUCUUGAAAGGGAACCAGGCAGUCUGCCAACUCUUCUGAUCAUACUCCCUUGAGGAUGGCUCACCCAUGCCUUGGUCAUCAGCACUAUCUCCACUCUGUUGCCCAGAAAAGGUUCAAUAGGAGCCUAGCAUGGCUGCCCUCAGAGAGGCCCAACAAGAACCUGACUGAGAGAUGCAGAUACUUACACCCAACCAAUGGACUGAAGUUGGGGACCCCUGUGGCUGAAUUAAGGAAAGGCUGGAAGAAGUUGAGGAGGGUUACUACAAAGGAAGACCAGCAGUCUCAACUAACCUGGCCCCUGAGAUCUCUCAGACACACAACCACCAACCAGGGAGCAUACAGUUCCUGGUAUGAGGCUGCUAACACACACAUACAUCAGAGGACUGCCUCAGUGACAGAAGAUGAACCUAACCCUUGAGAGACCUGAGGCCUCAGGGAGUGGAGAGACUUGGUCGAAUGGGAUGGGGUUUGGUGGGGUGGGGACAUUCUCUUGGAGAUGGGAGAGGAGAAAUGGGAUGAGGAACUGUCAGAGGGCACACAGGGCAUAACAACUGGACUGUAAAAAAU
rnacentral:lncRNA from 1 species